rnacentral:rRNA from 1 species
GGAGCAGUUGCGAGGACAGCAAUCCCAUAAACCGUAGCUCAGUUCAGAUCGUAGGCUGCAACUCGCCUACGUGAAGGAGGAAUCGCUAGUAAUCGCAGGUCAGCAUACUGCGGUGAAUACGUUCCCGGGCCUUGUACACACCGCCCGUCACACCAUGGAAGUUGGCCAUGCCCGAAGCCGUUACUCCAACCCUUGUGGAGGAGGACGUCGAAGGUGGGGCUGAUGACUGGGGUGAAGUCGUAACAAGGUAGCCGUACCGGAAGGUGCGGCUGGAUCACCUCCUAAC